AACGGCAGCGGGGGCUUCGGCCUGCCGGCGAGUGGCGAACGGGUGAGUAAUGCAUCGGAACGUGCCCAUGUCGUGGGGGAUAACUACGCGAAAGCGUAGCUAAUACCGCAUACGCCCUGAGGGGGAAAGCGGGGGAUUCUUCGGAACCUCGCGCGAUUGGAGCGGCCGAUGUCAGAUUAGCUAGUUGGUGAGGUAAAGGCUCACCAAGGCGACGAUCUGUAGCGGGUCUGAGAGGAUGAUCCGCCACACUGGGACUGAGACACGGCCCAGACUCCUACGGGAGGCAGCAGUGGGGAAUUUUGGACAAUGGGCGCAAGCCUGAUCCAGCCAUGCCGCGUGAGUGAAGAAGGCCUUCGGGUUGUAAAGCUCUUUCGGCCGGGAAGAAAUCGGCGACUCUAACAUAGUCGCUGGAUGACGGUACCGGACUAAGAAGCACCGGCUAACUACGUGCCAGCAGCCGCGGUAAUACGUAGGGUGCGAGCGUUAAUCGGAAUUACUGGGCGUAAAGCGUGCGCAGGCGGUUUUGUAAGACAGAUGUGAAAUCCCCGGGCUUAACCUGGGAACUGCGUUUGUGACUGCAAGGCUAGAGUACGGCAGAGGGGGGUGGAAUUCCUGGUGUAGCAGUGAAAUGCGUAGAUAUCAGGAGGAACACCGAUGGCGAAGGCAGCCCCCUGGGCCUGUACUGACGCUCAUGCACGAAAGCGUGGGGAGCAAACAGGA
rnacentral:rRNA from 1 species